UACGUAGGGGGCAAGCGUUGUCCGGAAUCAUUGGGCGUAAAGCGCGUGUAGGCGGUUCGAUAAGUCUGCUGUGAAAGUCCAGGGCUCAACCCUGGGAUGCCGGUGGAUACUGUCGAGCUAGAGUACGGAAGAGGCGAGUGGAAUUCCCGGUGUAGCGGUGAAAUGCGCAGAUAUCGGGAGGAACACCAAUUGCGAAGGCAGCUCGCUGGGACGUCACUGACGCUGAGACGCGAAAGCGUGGGGAACAAACAGGG
rnacentral:rRNA from 1 species